GACGUAGGGCGCGAGCGUUGUCCGGAUUUAUUGGGCGUAAAGAGCUCGUAGGCGGCUUGUCGCGUCGAAUGUGAAAACCUGCAGCUCAACUGCAGGCUUGCAUUCGAUACGGGCAGGCUCGAGUUCGGUAGGGGAGACUGGAAUUCCUGGUGUAGCGGUGAAAUGCGCAGAGAUCCGGAGGAACACCAACGGCGUAGGCAGCGCCCUAGACGAGACCUGACGCUCAGGCACGAAAGCGCAGGGAGCGAACAGG
rnacentral:rRNA from 1 species